rnacentral:rRNA from 1 species
AUGGCGGAUUCGAUGGUGGCGAGCUUCUGGGGGCCGGUUACAUCAACCACUGAGCUGUGCGAGGAGAACUAUGCGCGCUCGUCAUACAUCGCAGAGUUCUACAAUACUCUCUCUAAUGCCCCAUGCAUUCUCUUGGCGCUUAUUGGGCUCGUGAAUGCUCUCCGCCAACGUUUUGAGAAGCGCUUCAGCGUCCUGCACAUAUCCAAUAUGAUACUUUCUAUUGGGAGUAUCAUCUUCCAUGCAACCUUGCAACAUGUCUUACAGCAGAGUGACGAGACUCCAAUGGUGUGGGAAAUUCUCCUAUAUCUGUAUGUCCUUUAUUCACCAGACUGGCAUUACAGGAGCACCAUGCCUACUUUCCUUGUCCUAUACGGUGCUGCAUUUGCUGUAGUUCACUUCUUCGUGCGAUUCCAAGUAGUAUUCAAGUUGCACUACAUUGGCCUCUGCCUUCUCUGCAUCCCGCGGAUGUACAAGUACUACAUUCAGACGAAAGACUUGGCUGCCAAGAGGCUCGCGAAGCUGUGGGUUCUUACCAUAUUCCUGGCGACAGUUUGCUGGCUAGUUGAUCGCAUCUUCUGUAAGAAGCUCUCGCUCUGGGUCAUCAACCCGCAGGGACAUGCAUGGUGGCAUGUGCUUAUGGGCUUCAACUCAUACUUUGCAAACACAUUCUUGAUGUUCUGCCGAGCUCAGCAGCGUGGGUGGGAGCCGCGCAUUAUCCACCUCUUUGGAUUUUUGCCUUAUGUCAAGAUUCAGAAAUCCAGAAAGAGGGAGUAA